AAACGACUCUCGGCAACGGAUAUCCCGGCUCUCGCAUCGAUGAAGAACGUAGCGAAAUGCGAUACUUGGUGUGAAUUGCAGAAUCCCGUGAACCAUCGAGUCUUUGAACGCAAGUUGCGCCUGAGGCCUCUAGGCCAAGGGCACGUCUGCCUGGGUGUCACGC
rnacentral:rRNA from 1 species